rnacentral:rRNA from 1 species
AGUGAACGCUGGCGGUAGGCCUAACACAUGCAAGUCGAACGGCAGCACAGUAAGAGCUUGCUCUUACGGGUGGCGAGUGGCGGACGGGUGAGGAAUACAUCGGAAUCUACUUUUUCGUGGGGGAUAACGUAGGGAAACUUACGCUAAUACCGCAUACGACCUACGGGUGAAAGCAGGGGAUCUUCGGACCUUGCGCGAUUGAAUGAGCCGAUGUCGGAUUAGCUAGUUGGCGGGGUAAAGGCCCACCAGGGCGACGAUCCGUAGCUGGUCUGAGAGGAUGAUCAGCCACCCGGGAACUGGGACACGGUCCGGACUCCUACGGGAGGCAGCAGUGGGGAAUAUUGGACAAUGGGCGCAAGCCUGAUCCAGCCAUACCGCGUGGGUGAAGAAGGCCUUCGGGUUGUAAAGCCCUUUUGUUGGGAAAGAAAAGCAGCAGGUUAAUACCCCGCUGUUCUGACGGUACCCAAAGAAUAAGCACCGGCUAACUUCGU